GACGAACGCUGGAGGCGUGAUUAACAAAUGCAAGUCGAAAGGAAAGGAAUACUUUAAAUUAUGAACUGAAGAAAAACGAAUAAAAAAAGAGUGAAUACCACGUGAGUACUAUGCCCCCAACUUGGGUAUAAGCCUGGGAAACUGGGUCUAAUUCCCGAUAGGACUGCAGGGUGGUGCCUGUGGUGGAAAACGAUUUUCUAGUGGUUGGGGAUGAGCUCGCGGCCUAUCAGCUUGUUGGUGGGGUAAUGGCCUACCAAGGCGGCGACGGGUAGCCGGCCUGAGAGGGUGGACGGCCACAUUGGGACUGAGAUACGGCCCAGACUCCUACGGGAGGCAGCAGUGGGGAAUAUUGCACAAUGGGCGGAAGCCUGAUGCAGCGACGCCGCGUGGGGGAUGACGGCCUUCGGGUUGUAAACUCCUUUCGACCGCGAGGAAGCCACCUGGUUGGAAGGGUGGUGACGGUAGUGGUAGAAGAAGCACCGGCUAACUACGUG
rnacentral:rRNA from 1 species